GAAGUUGUUUAAAUUGAACCAAAAAUUGUGAGCCAAUACCUUACCUUUCUUUUCCUCUCCUACCUCCCUACGAGCUGCGUAGUACCCCUAUACCCCUUUCAUUUCUCUUUCUUCUGUGGCCACUAACCUUCGAUUAUACCUCCUUAGUCUUUGCCAUUGCAGGUGAGCUCAACCAGCGCCAUUGGUGGCCUUCCACGUUAGGAAAAACGCUCCUUGACGCCAAGAAAUGCAUAGUCUCGAUUUCGAUUUUUAGGUUGGAUCUCCCUCCGGCUACUUCAAUUGGAGGGAGCUCUUGGGCUCCGCAGGUUCCUCUUGUUACGGGUUUCAAGUCAUAUCAAUUUUGCCCGUCGUCGUUUUAAUAUGAAAUUUGAGGUUAUCAGCGUAUUCGACGCGUCAAGAGCUUCGAAUACAGAUGGACAUUUUUUCAUGGAAUAUCAUUACGACUCAUGAUUUUCGUGAUGAUAUUUCAGGCUUUCUUUAAUUAAAUAAAAAUAAACGCUUGAUUUGUUGUGGACUAAGUUUUGAGGUUUUCUUUUGAGUCACAUCCAUGUCACGGAGACGCAGA
rnacentral:misc_RNA from 1 species